rnacentral:rRNA from 1 species
AUUGAACGCUGGCGGCAUGCCUAACACAUGCAAGUCGAGCGAGCGGCGGACGGGUGAGUAAUGUCUGGGAAACUACCUGAUGGAGGGGGAUAACUACUGGAAACGGUAGCUAAUACCGCAUACCAUCAGAUGUGCCAAGUUGGGAUAAGCUAGUAGGUGGGGUAAUGGCUCCCCUAGGCGACGGGCCCUAGAUGGUCUGAGAGGAUGACCAGCCACACUGGAACUGAGCAACGGUCCAGACUCCUACGGUAGGCAGCAGUGGGGAAUAUUGGACAAUGGGCGCAAGCCUGAUGCAGCCAUGCCGCGUGUGUGAAGAAGGCCUUCGGGUUGUAAAGCACUUUCAUCGGGGAGGCGUUACCCGCAGAAGAAGCACCGGCGAACUCCGUGCCAGCAGCCGCGGUAAUAC